rnacentral:rRNA from 1 species
CUGUCUCCACCCGAGACUCAGUGAAAUUGAACUCGCUGUGAAGAUGCAGUGUACCCGCGGCAAGACGGAAAGACCCCGUGAACCUUUACUAUAGCUUGACACUGAACAUUGAGCCUUGAUGUGUAGGAUAGGUGGGAGGCUUUGAAGUGUGGACGCCAGUCUGCAUGGAGCCGACCUUGAAAUACCACCCUUUAAUGUUUGAUGUUCUAACGUGGACCCGUAAUCCGGGUUGCGGACAGUGUCUGGUGGGUAGUUUGACUGGGGCGGUCUCCUCCUAAAGAGUAACGGAGGAGCACGAAGGUUGGCUAAUCCUGGUCGGACAUCAGGAGGUUAGUGCAAUGGCAUAAGCCAGCUUGACUGCGAGCGUGACGGCGCGAGCAGGUGCGAAAGCAGGUCAUAGUGAUCCGGUGGUUCUGAAUGGAAGGGCCAUCGCUCAACGGAUAAAAGGUACUCCGGGGAUAACAGGCUGAUACCGCCCAAGAGUUCAUAUCGACGGCGGUGUUUGGCACCUCGAUGUCGGCUCAUCACAUCCUGGGGCUGAAGUAGGUCCCAAGGGUAUGGCUGUUCGCCAUUUAAAGUGGUACGCGAGCUGGGUUUAGAACGUCGUGAGACAGUUCGGUCCCUAUCUGCCGUGGGCGCUGGAGAACUGAGGGGGGCUGCUCCUAGUACGAGAGGACCGGAGUGGACGCAUCACUGGUGUUCGGGUUGUCAUGCCAAUGGCACUGCCCGGUAGCUAAAUGCGGAAGAGAUAAGUGCUGAAAGCAUCUAAGCACGAAACUUGCCCCGA